AUAAACAUAUCCAGCUCUGUAAAGCAACAGCGGGGAUCAGCUCAAAAGCCAACAGUCACCACAAUAACAACAGCAGGCUCCAGUGGUUUCAGUUUUAGAUCCGGCGAUUUCACAUUUGGCUCAACCCCAGCCAAACCUGUAGCUAUACCGUUCCGUCAUUUGUUCAGGUCUGACCGAUCUGAGCGUUAAAUCAAAUCCACUUGCAAGCUUGAAAUCGUUUAAAUUUGGACAUAAGCGAUUCCCAGAAAUCCUACGGGGAAAUGUUACCGCCAGCAGCCUUAGCACUGGAUCGUUAGCCAUAUUCGGUUCAGGAACGGCAACUGAUGGAAAAAUUUGCAGAAUCAAUCCGAGUAUUUAAGCAUCCAUCGCAGCGCUAGACAUCCUUCAAGCUCGUUCCAGACCAGUUGUUGUAAAAAACGCCAUGCAUUGGACUUUGAUCGGAGCUGACGAAAAUUAUUUACCACCCCAAAAACAAGAAAUUCCAAAACAAUAAUCGCUCGACCAAUUCGGAAGCAAUUACCUUCGACGGAAGUCAAUUCAUGUUCCCAUAAGCUCACUGAGACGAGCGAUCGCAAACUACCAGCCAGUAUGUAACAAGGCACAAUUAGCAAGUUAGUCGGUUAUCCACUCAGGGCAUUCCCCCAAAUAUUAUUGCGGGCCCUGCUGGAGUUGGUAAAAACAUAACGAUCCCCUGCUUGGUUCGCAUUCUGCUGGCUGAAAAUUUUCGGGAAGUCGCAAUCGAGCUGAAUGCUUCCAGCGGAC